rnacentral:rRNA from 1 species
UACGAAGGGUGCAAGCGUUACUCGGAAUUACUGGGCGUAAAGCGUGUGCAGGUGGUUCGUUAAGUCUGCUGUGAAAGCCCCGGGCUCAACCUGGGAAUGGCAGUGGAUACUGGCGAGCUGGAGUGCGGUAGAGGGUAGUGGAAUUCCCGGUGUAGCGGUGAAAUGCGUAGAGAUCGGGAGGAACACCAGUGGCGAAGGCGGCUACCUGGACCAGCACUGACACUCAGACACGAAAGCGUGGGGAGCAAACAGG